rnacentral:sRNA from 1 species
ACAAUCGCUUGUUACUAUAAUAAAAGAUCGAUGAAACAAGAUUCUAAUGUUAAGCAUUUUGAAAUGUUACGAAACCGUACAAACAAUUUAUGUGAUUAACGUCAAAUGCAUAAAAACGCAAACACAAAAAAUAGCAGUUAAAUCUUAUAAAGAUAUUUCAUAAAAUAUUACACACUCAUGAAAGGUCUUAAAAGCUUAAUUAGUUCUCAUUAUCAAAGAAAAAAAUAAAAGCUUAAUUAGUUCUUACCGAAAAAAACAAAGCUUAAUGUUGAUGAGUGAACGAGUCUUUCCACGUCGUCCACACUGUCCUCGUCGUCCUCGUUGUCUACGUCGUCUUCGUGGUCCAGGUCGUCGUAAUUGGAAGUGGCGAGAGAAAAUCCGAUUUGGCGGUGCCCAAAAUCAAAUAUCGUAUGAUAUCUCUGAGUAAAGGCAUUCCAAGAAUAUUGUAAACAAAUUAAUAUAUAAAUUUAAUUGAUAAGUAAUUUACGAAACAAAACGUACUUAAUGUGACGAAAUGGAGAGAUAGUCCUCCGAAGUGAAAUAAAAAGCACAUCGGGCAAAUAAUUUGCUACCGCUGCUGCCACUUUGGCAUUUGUAAAUAUCAUCCUUUCCAUAUGACUAGAAAAUAGAAAACGAAAAGAGAAAGUAUUAAGUUAACAUAAAACAACAAAUAAUAAUAAAAUGUUGUAAAUAAAACUUACACGUCUACCACAAAUUUGAGAGUAAUCUCUCGGGUAAUGAGAUAGAAAAAUAAAUAUAAAUGAUAAAUUGCAUUAGUAAAUAGUAUUUGAUACAAAAUAAAAUUUAAACAUUAAAUCCUUUACUAACCGGGGGACCGUAUAUAUACGGACAGCUCAUAUGAAUUAAAGUUUUAUGGGUGAGUGAUCCUAAAAAGAAAAAGAAGAUGUAAAGUUUAUGUACUGAAAACACACAUAUAUAGAUAGACUCAUUAUUGUAAUUAAUUAUUACAUGAUAUCCGUUGACUUGGAUGGAAUGCAUCCUAAUGAUUCAUCUAUUACCUUCAAUGAGGUUGAAGUAUAUAUGCUCAACGACAAAAUGAAUCUGAUCAACAUCCCGAACGAUUGUUUCUCCUCCCAAAUUAUAGCUGUCACCAUAAUGAACUUAUUCAUAGUAAUUCUGUAGCCACACCGACAAUAUAUUUCGAUGUAAAAAUCUUUGAUCCAUCAUAUUUGUCCUAAAAUUAUUUCUAAUUUAUUUCUUAUUUUUAUUUGUUAUCUAAAUAUACCUAAUCUCAUAGCUCUAUUAAUAUUUUGACG